GCUGUCAGUACCAUGUGAAAGAUGGACAGUGUGCUGCCUGUUGAUAUUGUAUCGACCCCAGCGAUAAAUGCAGUGCUUGGCAGUUCUAGCAGCAACAAGAAGAUUUGGACCGUACUCCCUCCCUGGCCAGCUGCCCGGAGUCUCGUGGAGGAAAGCAAAGAAUCUGGGGACAGACCAGCUGGCUGGACCCCAGAGAAGACAAGAAAGGCCUCUUGGAAGCAGCAGCAGCUAAAAAUUAAGCCCCGACCUGCAAGACUCCCACAUCCCCGAUGCCAGGCAAGAGGCACCUGAGAAAGCAAGACUUAGCAGUGAUGAUGAUGACGAUGGUGGGUGUUGGCAGCGGGAGAAGGAUCCGUGCCCCGGAUGGAGCCCAGAAAUUAGAAUGCAUCAGGUGACCGUCUGUCUCCCAGAGAGAGAACUCGGAGAAACGGAGUCCUCCCGAAACCAAGUGGAAAGAUGCCGGCCGCACUCAACGGCCCCACGGCGAGUCGCAAGCUGGACCUGGGAGAGUAGCAAUGCACGUAUCGGGGUGAGGCCCGGGGGCCAGCGUCCUCGUGGCUCCGGAGAGGCCCCGGAGAGCAAGACCCUGACCGAAGGCCCCCACGGUCGGCGCGGCUUCGGAUCCCGGCAGAGCCCCGCGGACGGGAUCUCCGGAGAGGUAGGAGGAGAGGGGGUCGGGAGCGCCGCCGACGCCUCUGUGCACUUUUCACAGCCCUUAGGAAAGCAUCUGCCACCACGCUGAGAUCUGGGCUCUCGAUGGAAAGCGCUUAUUAGUGAAUUGGGCUGCGUAUGUGGUGGGGCCAGGACGGAGAGCCCCCCGGGGCCCUCCCCGACGCCCGCUGCAGACACCUACCGAGACU